rnacentral:tRNA from 1 species
UAGCUCAGUGGUAGAGCACAUGCUUAGCACACAUGAGGUCCUGGGUUCAAUCCCCAG